CGCCAAAAACGAAAAACACGAUUUUCCCGCCAAAACCGGAAAAAUGCAUUUUCCCGCCAAAAUCGAAAAAACACAUUUUUCAGCUAAAACCAGAAAAACGCAUUUUCCCGCGAAAACCGGAAAAACGCAUUUUCCCAUUAAAACCAGAAAAACGCAUUUUCCCGUUAAAACCGGAAAAACCAGAAGCCAAAACCCGAAAAACGCAUAUGCCUGUCAAAACUGGAAACGUAUUUUCCUACUAGAACCAGAAAAUGCAUUUUCCCGCCAAAACCGGAAAACGCAUUUUCCCGUCAAAACCGGAAAAAUGUAUUUUUCCGCGAAAACCGUGAAAAAAAACUUUUCCCGUCAAAAUCGAGAAAAAAAAACUUUUCCCGCCAAAAUUGUGAAAAAAACCUUUCCGUCAAAAACACUUUUCUCACCAAAACUUCAAAACACACUUUUUCCGUCCAAACCGCAAAAACGUAUUUUUCCGGCAAACCCAUAAAACGUAUUUUUUCGCCAAAACUAUAAAAAUACACUUUUUCGCGAAAAAACACAUAUUUUCUCAAAAACCGCAAAAAUAUUUUCGGCCAAAACCGUAAAAAUGCUAUAUUUCCGCCGAAAUGUAAAAAAUUAUAUUUUAGUCAUUUUAUUAACAAGUCCACCUGGAUGCAAAUGGAAGUUAAAAUAUGAAAAACAAACGAACAUAGUUGCAUUCAGAUGAUGCAUGGACGAAAUGAAGAAACAAACAACAUCCAGAUGGAGCAUCUGGGUAAAAUAUCUAGAUGGACCAUCUGGAUUCAUCUUCCAGAUAUACAAACGAACAGGGCCAAAUAAAUAAGAUUUCACAACGUAUUAUUCACUAACAAACAAAAAAUCGUAAUAGUUUUUAGAUUAUAUUUUGCUUCUAUUCGAUUCUUAUGCUUAUUUUUUUAUUUUUAGGUUGUUUCGUCAUAGUACUAGUUAAACAUAUUACGUCUAGUACUAGCUCCGAAAAUACAGUGUAAUAUGUUGGAAAAUCUGUUCCUUGAGAUUCUGAUGUAUGGUGGACUAUUAAACUCAUCUCAUGUCACAUCUAAUCCACCCUUUCAUUACGCAAGAGCUACAGGUUCAUUUUUUUCUUAAUGAAUAUGUCGUUUUGUGGUUGUCUAUAAUAUUACAUUAAGAAUAGGGAAAUUAGGUUGUCAUUUUUUUCUUAAUGAAUAUGUCGUUUUGUGGUUGUCUAUAAAAAUUUUUUUAGCAAAAAAAAAAAAAAUAGGGAAAUUAGGUGAUAUAACCAAACAAAAACUCAUAAUUCAUUAUAUAACCAAAAUCACACCCUCUCUCCUUUUCUCUCUUCCUAUCUCUCUCUAACAUUUUUCUACAAAACUAAUUUUACCUUUUUUUUUGGUUAUAUCACAAAUAAGCCCUUAAAAAUAUCUAUCUUUUUCUAUGCAGUUUUGAUUCUCGAAACUAGUGAACAUACUUUGUGUGUCUUAUGAUCAUAAUGGACACCAAAACUUUUUACAAUUGUUGAAGGAUUUUUUUACAAAGGUUCUGUUCUCUCUUGUUUCUCAUCUUAAACAUGAUAAACUUGUUCGACUCUCUUGCUUCAUGAAUGAUUAAUUUAAUGCUUUUGUGUAGACAUUUGUUCUUUUUCGUUGGUCUGAUUCUUAGAACAUAUUGUUUUUUUUUUUUUUGAGUUUCAAGAGCAUUCUUCUUCAACACAUGAUCUCAUUGCCUGACCAAUCUGUUGCAAAGGCGGUUACUGAGAAGCUCUACAAUACCUUUCUCACACUCUCAAAUGCACAAAUACGGCACAUGCUUGAAGAUCAUACAAGAGUUGACUCCUGGCUUCAGCUACCUCAUCCUUCAUCCCUUUACUAUUUUUUUCCUUCAAGCCAUUAUCAAAAGGCAGUGGAAGAGUGGCUUGCAACUGCAUCCUCAGAUCCCUAGAGUCACAAAUACCAGACACAAUUAACUGAUGCUUAGUUAUGUUGGCGGAACUUGUAUCUGUUGACAUCAGUUUGGAAGACAAGGUAAUAAGGUUUGGAUGUUUGUCUUACCAUUGCGUUACUUCCUUGCAAAGAUCUAAUUUUUUAACAUCAUUUUCUCUUUUUUAUUUUUCACUAUUUUUAUUAUCUUAAAAGUUCAUAUACUCGUAAAGACUCUACCGUUGGAGCUGCUCUAAGUAUUGUUAUCGCCCUAAAUUGUAUAUAAUCUAUGCUCUGGCGCUAAAGUUUUUGCUUUAUGAGCUUUAACCUAGCGACAACGAGGGCCGGGAUGAAUGGUGAAUACAAUUUUAUGGGGGUAUUUCAUGUUUAUGUAGAGAGAAACUCUUUCCAUUUAGUUGAUACAAAAAAAGAAGAGAACUGAAAAAGUCAUUUUUUGUUUCUACACGGAAUAAAAUCAUCCAUGCUGCCUAGGCCUGGGACGAAUCGGA